rnacentral:rRNA from 1 species
UACGAAGGGGGCUAGCGUUGCUCGGAAUUACUGGGCGUAAAGGGAGCGUAGGCGGACAGUUUAGUCAGAGGUAAAAGCCCAGGGCUCAACCUUGGAACUGCCUUUGAUACUGGCUGUCUUGAGUUCGGGAGAGGUGAGUGGAAUGCCGAGUGUAGAGGUGAAAUUCGUAGAUAUUCGGCGGAACACCAGUGGCGAAGGCGACUCACUGGCCCGAUACUGACGCUGAGGCGCGAAAGCGUGGGGAGCAAACAGG